UUUAGAAACUACUAAAGCAGCUCCAUCCAGCUGAGGAUUCAAUCGUCCAGCUGACUGAUCGAAGUGGGACAGAUCGCUGCUCGCUCGCCUACAAACACAAAAGAUGAACAUCGCUGUCUUUAUCAUCUUCAUGGCCACUCUUGCCCUUGUUGAUGG